UCACCAUUAAAUGCCAGCCGCCGCGGUAAAUCGGGUAACCUGACCAGUAAGACUGGGAUAUCCCGGGAAACCGGGGCUAAUACCGGAUGCUUGAUUGAACCGCAUGGUUCAAUUAUAAAAGGUGGCUUCGGCUACCACUUACAGAUGGACCCGCGGCGCAUUAACUAGUUGGUGAGGUAACGGCUCACCAAGGCGACGAUGCGUAACCGACCUGAGAGGGUGAUCGGCCACACUGGGACUGAAACACGGCCCAGACUCCUACGGGAGGCAGCAGUAGGGAAUCUUCCGCAAUGGACGAAAGUCUGACGGAACAACGCCGCGUGAGUGAUGAAGGUUUUCGGAUCGUAAAACUCUGUUGUUAGGGAAGAACAAGUGCCGUUCGAAUAGGGCGGUACCUUGACGGUACCUAACCAGAAAGCCACGGCUAACUACGUGCCAGCAGCCGCGGUA
rnacentral:rRNA from 1 species